rnacentral:rRNA from 1 species
CAUUACUAGUAUUAGAGGCACCGCCUGCCCAGUGACASUAGUUAAACGGCCGCGGUAUCCUGACCGUGCAAAGGUAGCAUAAUCAUUUGUUCCUUAAUUAGGGACUUGUAUGAAUGGCCCCACGAGGGUUUGACUGUCUCUUACUUUUAAUCAGUGAAAUUGACCUCCCCGUGAAGAGGCGGGGAUAUGAAAAUAAGACGAGAAGACCCUAUGGAGCUUAAAUUAAUAUAUUCAACAGAAUUUAAAUCSUACCCAACAGGGAUAAUUAUAAUUAAACUGAAUAUAAAUUUUGGUUGGGGUGACCUCGGAGAAUAAACAAGCCUCCGAGCAAUUUAACUAAGACUAACCCGUCAAAGUCACAUUACUUAUUGAUCCAAUCCUAUUGAUCAACGAAACAAGUUACCCUAGGGAUAACAGCGCAAUCCUAUUUGAGAGUUCAUAUCGACAAUAGGGUUUACGACCUCGAUGUUGGAUCAGGACACCNNAAUGGUGCAGCAGCUNUUAAAGGUUCGUU